CUUAGGACAUUUUGACACAGGCUGGAUAAUGAAGUUGAACAGCAGAAGAGUGAUUGUAGGAGAUCAGUUUUACCUAGUCCAAGGACCUGCAGCUACUGAGAAGAAAAAAUCCUGUAGAGCAAAGAUCAGCUGCAUCCACAGUAACUAGUUAUUCAGUAAGACCAAAACGCCAAAGCAGAGUCAUAACCCCGAACUCCUUGGCCUUCUAACAGAUAGGAAUCAUUAUUGGUCAAGGUUUUGCUGCUGCUCAGCCUGGUUUCUUCUCAAAAAGCACAAACUUACGAGCUCCCACCUUGUGGAAAAGACAGUAUUUGCUUUUGAACCCAUUGGCCAAGUUCGGCCAAGCACAACCAAGAUAAUGAAGUUCCCAAAGGUUUCCUGAGACUUGGAGGCCACAGAAAGACGAUAGCAAGGAGGGCCCUGGUCAAGGGAGAUGCUGCAAUGUGAACUUGCCUUUGCUACAUACCACAGAAUCCACUGUGGAAAAAGUUUUUUUUUUUUUUUUUGGUUUUAUGAUACCAGAAAUGAGCAACCACCAAACAAAUCCAGAGGAACCAACUCCACGGGUACCUGUUUCCAUAGCACCCCAAGUGUUCUCCUAGUAGACACAUUAGCUGUCACACUUAGAGAGAGUUUAGCCUCUGCCCCCCAUCUCUCUGGGCACCACUUGGUAUACCUCAAGCUCACGUUUUCAGUUUAAGAGUUCUUCUUUCUUAUCGAGCGUUUCACCCCUCGAUUGUUUCCUUUCCUCUCCACUCUCUCAAACGACAUACUUCUAAUACAUGCAAUUAAACAAGAGGGAGGUAGCAUUCAAGAUAAUCAAAUCUAAAUUUAAUUCCAGGAUGUUCCUGUGUUUUAUUGAGAAAGAGGCUAUGCAAGAGGUUGAAACCCAACGUGCGUCAGAUGUACUCUGCUUCACAGAGGCAGCAUGUUGUUUUUGGCAGUCCCUUGGCAGAUGUCUUCUAGAUAACUCGAUAGGACUCGGUCUAAUGUUAGACUGGGAAUUCAGCAAGCAAACUUUCAAGAAUCUGGUGUCCAAUUUUAAGUCUUCUGCUAUGAAGAAAUCCAGGGAUUUCAUAACAGUGCAGUAGUUACUGGAAAGCUCAUACAAAAGUUUCCUGUUUCCAGGAUAAGCAAUUACGAGUUCGAUGAUCAUAGUUUGCCUUUGUGGAAAUGGCUCAGGCAACUUUAAGAAGAAAAUUACUGCGGACCACUAGCAGAGGACCUGCAACAUUGAACCUUUAAACAGGAAGGCACUUCCUAUAGAGAGGAACUCACUUGUACAGCCAGGGGAAGUGCAAGGGAAGAGCACUACUGCCUGGCUCCACCCUAUCUAAAUGCAUUUAUCUGAGAUGCCUAAACGGAGAGAGAGAAAAAUGAGCUGAAUCUGAGGUAACACCCAUCUCUUGGGAGAUGGCAGGGACUUGAGAAGUCAACUCUUAUCUCAGUAUCUGGAAUAAAGUGCAAAGACCACAUGCUUAGGUCUGUGGU
rnacentral:lncRNA from 1 species